rnacentral:rRNA from 1 species
UACGGGGGGAGCAAGCGUUGUUCGGAUUUACUGGGCGUAAAGGGCGCGUAGGCGGCCUCUGCAAGUCGACUGUGAAAUCUCCGGGCUUAACCCGGAAAGGUCAGCCGAUACUGCAGGGCUAGAGUGCAGAAGGGGCAACUGGAAUUCUCGGUGUAGCGGUGAAAUGCGCAGAUAUCAGGAGGAACACCGGUGGCGAAGGCGGGUCUCUGGGCCGAUACUGACGCUGAGGAGCGAAAGCGUGGGGAGCGAACAGG